UACGUAGGGACCAAGCGUUGUUCGGAUUUACUGGGCGUAAAGGGCGCGUAGGCGGCUUAACAAGUCACUUGUGAAAUCUCCGGGCUUAACUCGGAACGGCCAAGUGAAACUAUCAAGCUAGAGUGCAGAAGGGGCAAUCGGAAUUCUUGGUGUAGCGGUGAAAUGCGUAGAUAUCAAGAGGAACACCUGAGGUGAAGACGGGUUGCUGGGCUGACACUGACGCUGAGGCGCGAAAGCCAGGGGAGCAAACGGG
rnacentral:rRNA from 1 species